rnacentral:rRNA from 1 species
CCUACGGGGGGCAGCAGUAGGGAAUCUUUCACAAUGGGCGAAAGCCUGAUGGAGCAACGCCGCGUGCAGGAUGAAGGCCUUCGGGUUGUAAACUGCUUUUAUAAGCGAGAAAUAUGAUGGUAACUUAUGAAUAAGGAUCGGCUAACUACGUGCCAGCAGCCGCGGUCAUACGUAGGAUCCGAGCAUUAUCCGGAGUGACUGGGUGUAAAGAGUUGCGUAGGUGGCAUAAUAAGUAGCUAGUGAAAUCUGGUGGCUCAACCAUUCAGACUAUUAGCUAAACUGUUAAGCUCGAGACCGUUAGGGGUAACUGGAAUUUCUAGUGUAGGAGUGAAAUGCGUAGAUAUUAGAAGGAACACCAAUAGCGUAGGCAGGUUACUGGGACGGUUCUGACACUAAGGCACGAAAGCGUAGGGAGCAAACGGGAUUAGAUACCCGGGUAGUC